AACGCGAAGAACCUUACCUGGGCUUGACAUGGGAGUGACCGCCGUGGAAACACGGUUUUCCUUCGGGACACUUUCACAGGUGGUGCAUGGCUGUCGUCAGCUCGUGUCGUGAGAUGUUGGGUUAAGUCCCGCAACGAGCGCAACCCCCGUCGUAUGUUGCCAGCAUUUAGUUGGGGACUCAUACGAGACUGCCGGUGACAAACCGGAGGAAGGUGGGGAUGACGUCAAGUCAUCAUGCCCCUUAUGUCCAGGGCUACACACGUGCUACAAUGGCGCGCACAGAGGGCCGCGAUACCGCGAGGUGGAGCUAAUCCCAUAAAGCGCGUCUCAGUUCGGAUUGCAGGCUGAAACUCGCCUGCAUGAAGGUGGAGUUGCUAGUAAUCGCAGAUCAGCAAUGCUGCGGUGAAUACGUUCCCGGGCCUUGUACACACCGAGACGAC
rnacentral:rRNA from 1 species